rnacentral:lncRNA from 1 species
UGCAACCGAGAAGACCAUUAGCGAGAUCGAGGAGUUCAUAGGGUUCAUUCAGAGUGAAAUUGCUGGAGUGAAAGAAGCACUUGCUAAUCGAGGUUCUGAUAUCCUACUUUGUGUUUUUUUAGUUAUUUUUGCAGUAAUCUCUUGUGUUUUCAUGCGUUGGGAUGUAGAAUAGAGGACCAAGAGACUUGUGUAACCUUUAAGUAGACUAGUUGGGAUAAAACAUAUGUAUUUGACUUCUAUGGUGAUUAAUGUUAGUGUUUACUGUUGCAUAUACGUUGUUCGUAUACUGGGGAAUCUAUGUGCAUUUUGUGUAUUGUGUACAUAUGCA